GGAACAUCCAGUGAAGCUGAAUGCCCUAAAACAGGUCAGGACAGCAACCUUGGACUUAAUCUAGAGUGGCACACAGGACCUGCUGCGAGAUUGCGCCGCUGUGAUGUUCCUGCUUAUAUUGUAAAUAUGACCAAAGAACCAAGGCACCAUCAACCAAGAAGAGACCCCACCAUCUCAUCAGGGAGCUGCCAUCGAGGAACACCAAUCAAGAUGUCAA